rnacentral:rRNA from 1 species
CCACCCGAUCCCAUCCCGAACUCGGAAGUGAA